rnacentral:lncRNA from 1 species
GCAUUAUUUAUAAGAAAGAUAAUGAUUUAAUCUUCCUAACAUUAAAUGAGUCACUUGCAAGGAUAAAAUUUAAAGCCUUAACAUUACACAAAUUAACUUAGUCCAAUAAUAGAGCAAAGGUGGUUAUACCUGUUGGGUAUAAAAUAAAAAUGUUUAGUUUCUGAGCUCUUCCCUGUUCCUUGAAGGUGGCAGUGGAGUACAUUUGCAUGGCUUCACUGCUGAAGCAGCAAGUGAAUAGAUUCAGAAUGUUUCACAAAAAGAGUAGUAAAAGCAUUCUAUGUUAAGGUGAAGGUGUUUUGUCUUCAAGGUACCAUGUAGAAGGCUGGGACUAUUUCUAUACCACAGUCCCUUUUUUAUUUGUUUGUAAGAUAAUGCAGAAAGGUAAGAUAUUAGUAGGCAGAACCCCUACAUGAAAAUUGUGGUCUUUAAGUGUCUUAAAAUCAUUCUUUUACUAUUCUAUAGGAACAACUAUAAACAGUAAGACGAAGAAAAAUCAAGAGCUCCUGGGAUUAUGAGAUACUUGGAUAAUUGGGGAUUACUUACACUUCUACUCCCCAUGGAAAGCAUCUCAGUGGUACAAUGGUUCCCUCUCAAAUAGGGUUGAUGAUUGGAGAGGACUGUCCAAGACCAACAGAGUAUUCCUGAAACCACAGGUCAUAUUGAAUUCAGUAAUUGCACAAUUUUUGUCUCAAAUACUUGGAUCAGAAAAGAAAGAAAAGAUCAUUAUAUUCAUACUGAAACUUAACUGCAAUUGUAAUGAGCUAAAAGUCAGAUCUUUAGGAGGUCAUUAAGUCAUUAAGAAGAUUUUACCCUUUGGUCCUUUUGACUGGAUUGAUGCCAUUAUUAUUAGAGUGGUUUAGAUGUCAUGGAAGUGGAUUUCCUCUUACAGUGAAUUGACCAAGUUUCCUUAUGUUAUGCACAUGCCAGCUUGGUGCUUCACCAUGACCUGAUACGUCCUGGAGACUCUCCCCACAAGAUUUCUUUGCCUCAAGAACGCUGAUCAAUUUAUUUUCUUUCAACAUUACUC